AGCUUUGAGGUGUUUUACAUGUCGGAUUGCAAAUCCGAAGUAGACGGCUGACGCCCUCCGGAGCUU
rnacentral:tRNA from 1 species